GAUGAACGCUGGCAGCGUGCCUAAUACAUGCAGGUCGAGCGAACGGACGAGAAGCUUGCUUCUCUGAUGUUAGCGGCGGACGGGUGAGUAACACGUGGAUAACCUACCUAUAAGACUGGGAUAACUUCGGGAAACCGGAGCUAAUACCGGAUAAUAUUUUGAACCGCAUGGUUCAAAAGUGAAAGACGGUCUUGCUGUCACUUAUAGAUGGAUCCGCGCUGCAUUAGCUAGUUGGUAAGGUAACGGCUUACCAAGGCAACGAUGCAUAGCCGACCUGAGAGGGUGAUCGGCCACACUGGAACUGAGACACGGUCCAGACUCCUACGGGAGGCAGCAGUAGGGAAUCUUCCGCAAUGGGCGAAAGCCUGACGGAGCAACGCCGCGUGAGUGAUGAAGGUCUUCGGAUCGUAAAACUCUGUUAUUAGGGAAGAACAUAUGUGUAAGUAACUGUGCACAUCUUGACGGUACCUAAUCAGAAAGCCACGGCUAACUACGUG
rnacentral:rRNA from 1 species